UGAGAACUGAAUAAGAAAUUAUAUGCCAAGGA
rnacentral:piRNA from 1 species